AUGGCUCAGGAUGAACGCUAGCUACAGGCUUAACACAUGCAAGUCGAGGGGUAGCAGGGUAGCAAUACUGGCGGCGACCGGCGCAAGGGUGCGUAACGCGUGAGCAACAUGCCCGUAUCAGGGGGAUAAUCCAGGGAAACUUGGUCUAAUACCCCAUAGUAAUCUUGUAAGGCAUCUUAUAAGAUUUAAAGCUUUGGUGGAUACGGAUUGGCUCGCGUGACAUUAGCUGGAUGGUAAGGUAACGGCUUACCAUGGCUAUGAUGUCUAGGGGUUCUGAGAGGAAGGUCCCCCACACUGGAACUGAGACACGGUCCAGACUCCUACGGGAGGCAGCAGUGAGGAAUAUUGGACAAUGGAUGGAAAUCUGAUCCAGCCAUGCCGCGUGAAGGAAGAAAGGUCCUAUGGAUUGUAAACUUCUUUUGUAUGGGAGCAAUAAGGCCUACGAGUAGGUUGAUGAGAGUACCAUACGAAUAAGCACCGGCUAACUCCGUGCCAGCAGCUGC
rnacentral:rRNA from 1 species